ensembl:lncRNA
AACGUAGAUCAGCGUAAAUAUGAUGUUAUAUCAGAGUUUCAUGUGAUGCUGUUAUGUCAUCAAAUACAAUAUUUGAAAAAUGUAAAUGUAACGCUUUUCCAUCGUGAUUCUGUAAUGGUGAUCCUGGUCAUGUACCAAUCAGAUGGUUGGCGGUUCUAUCCUCGGCUCUACUGGUCUGGAGGUAAAAGUAUCCUUGGACAGGAUGCUGAACCCCGAGUUCCCCUUAAAUAAGGUUAAAAGCACUUAAGCAUAGAAAAAAGUGCUUACAUGAAGGUUAAGCAGUGUCACAGGAAGUGCUCGCCACAACAGUUGGUCAUGAGCAGCCGUUCCAGGCUCCUGUUGCUUAGGUAACCCUGUUGUAUGUUUUUACUAACUUAUCUAAUGUAAGUCAGCCGUUUCCUGUGCUCUCAUUGGUAGUCGCUUCUCUCGCUAAUGUCCAGGCAGAGAAAAGUUUAACUCAGGACCCGCCAACUUUUCAAUGUGUCUUUGACUUUCAGUCGUCUCUCAUCUCCACGUCACUUUUAGUCACUUCCUGUGUGGACGCCCCUUAAAGAAAGAUGUUAUUAAGACGUUUUCCCCUGUGGUUAAAACUGUUGUAUUGAUUGGCUGAUGUUUAGCACCUGAUGUACAUCACUGACUGCACCCAAAGUUUAAUCAUACAACCCGGGGAGAAGCUGAACUACUGAAGGAUGUGUUAAGUUAUUCUUUUUACCCCAUAAAGACAUUUUAUAAGCUCCCCUGUACCUUUAAUGACAACGUCUGACACCUCAGUGUGCAACAAUAAAGCUGUAGUUUGAUGACAUUUAGAAUAGUUUCCAAGGGUCGCUGCAGAGGCAGAGAACACUCUCGCUAUCUUCUGAUGAAGAUGAACUUCAAAGGUUAUUCCUAGAAGAUCUUAAACAGAAAUACACAGUAAAGGUUGUAAUUUUUUUACUUUUUCUACGAUUACCACGUAACAGCUGAUUCAUGUGGUGGUUUAAGCACAUUUUAAAGGGUAAUUCCACCAGUUGUAGACAUAAAAGUUUGUUUGCCUACUUGUUGUCAGUGUGACGUCAUCAUUCAGUUUUUAGACCGUGACUAAAACCAGAAAGCAAAAGUCCCUCCCCUGAGUGGAGAGCCAUGCAGAUGUGUCACCCAUUUCAUUUUUUAUUUAUUUAUUUCUUUUAAACAUGCAUGCACUUUUUGUUCUUGAUAUUAUGGGUCUGUCUUUUUUCCUCAUUGUACAAAGACAAAAAUAAAAUCGAC